rnacentral:lncRNA from 1 species
GCCACUGAACAAUGAGGUGUUGUUGGUUCACGUAAAGCUUGUUUACAUUCCAGAAUUUUUCCCAUUUGGUGAUGUCAAGACGGAAGGAGGCUUUGAAAAAAAAGGCCCUUCCAAACAUCGACAUGAGAAUCAAAGGAAAGGCUUUAAACAUUGAUGAGGACAUCAAGGAAAACCAUGUCAAGCUGGAAACGUACAUGAAGCAGUUGAAUGAGAUAUUAAAAUCUCAUGCCAAAAGGUCCACCCAAAGUUUAUUCAAUGCUGACAAAAAGCUGGCAAUGGCUGCAAUCAACCGUGGAAGCACAGAGGAUGAAUUGUCUGAUUACAAAGAGGACACAACGAUCAAAGUUCCAGACCCGGUGGAAGUAACCUGUUUGGAGAAUGCUGAGCCAGAAGAGGAUAAAACGAUCAGAGUUCCAGACCUGGUGGAAGUCACCUGUUUGAAGAGUGCUGAGCCAGAAGGUUUGUGGUCAAAAGGAAAACUUUUUGUUUCCUUUCUGUUUCCCCAA